rnacentral:rRNA from 1 species
UGGGGAAUAUUGGACAAUGGGCGCAAGCCUGAUCCAGCAAUGCCGCGUGAGUGAUGAAGGCCUUAGGGUUGUAAAGCUCUUUUACCCGGGAUGAUAAUGACAGUACCGGGAGAAUAAGCCCCGGCUAACUCCGUGCCAGCAGCCGCGGUAAUACGGAGGGGGCUAGCGUUGUUCGGAAAUACUGGGCGUAAAGCGCACGUAGGCGGCUCAGCAAGUCAGAGGUGAAAUCCCAGGGCUUAACCCUGGAACUGCCUUUGAAACUGCUAGGCUAGAAUCUUGGAGAGGUCAGUGGAAUUCCGAGUGUAGAGGUGAAAUUCGUAGAUAUUCGGAAGAACACCAGUGGCGAAGGCGACUGACUGGACAAGUAUUGACGCUGAGGUGCGAAAGCGUGGGGAGCAAA